AGGUGCUGCAGCGGGAGUGCCACGUGCAGCUCUUGAGGAGACCCUGGUGGAGCAAGCAAAAAAGCAUGAGGAGGACUCCCAGGCUGGCCUGGGUGCUUCUGCAAGCUGCCUGCCUUGAGCAGCCUGGGCUUCUCUUUGAGAAGGCGUGCGGCGUACUCCAGCUUAAUGACAGAGUCAGCAAUUUGACUGCUAACUGGAUUGAGCACUUUCUAAUACCAAAGCAUUUGUGCCAGCGUCAGCCUUAUUGUGACUGGAGCUCCCUCCUUGGAGAAGGUUGAAAGCUAUGGCGGCAGGCGCAGAUGGGAGAGGUUUAUUGCAGAUGUGGGAACCCACACAACGAGCUGCAGUGCUAGCCCAUCCUCUCUGAGUCUUGUACUGGGGUCUUCAGGGGAAAGAAAACAAAAGGUUUUAAACAUCCUUUUGAAAAGAUGCCAAAAUUUGUGCCAUUCUCCAGAUGUUUUCAUGUGAUGGCAGAAGCCAGAUUGUGUUGGAAGACUACAGCUACUGAUGGUCAGACAAUGACAUCAACAUGCAAGGCUGAGCCUAAAUACUUUCAUCCAGCCAACAUAUGCAAAAAAGAAGAAAAAGACAUGAAAUUGCCAUUAGUUCUGUACCCCUUCCAUCACUUUUCACUGAAUUGUCUGCCAUGUAUCUGGCAUCACCAUUAAAUGCACGUCUGUUUUGAUAGUA